rnacentral:rRNA from 1 species
GAUGAACGCUGGCGGCGUGCCUAAUACAUGCAAGUCGAGCGAACAGAUGAGGAGCUUGCUCCUCUGACGUUAGCGGCGGACGGGUGAGUAACACGUGGAUAACCUACCUAUAAGACUGGGAUAACUUCGGGAAACCGGAGCUAAUACCGGAUAAUAUAUUGAACCGCAUGGUUCAAUAGUGAAAGACGGUUUUGCUGUCACUUAUAGAUGGAUCCGCGCCGCAUUAGCUAGUCGGUAAGGUAACGGCUUACCAAGGCAACGAUGCGUAGCCGACCUGAGAGAGUGAUCGGCCACACUGGAACUGAGACACGGUCCAGACUCCUACGGGAGGCAGCAGUAGGGAAUCUUCCGCAAUGGGCGAAAGCCUGACGGAGCAACGCCGCGUGAGUGAUGAAGGUCUUCGGAUCGUAAAACUCUGUUAUUAGGGAAGAACAAAUGUGUAAGUAACUAUGCACGUCUUGACGGUACCUAAUCAGAAAGCCACGGCUAACUACGUG